GGAAACUAUGUGCUUUUUGGUGGAUUGACUCAGAUACUCUUCAUACCAACUCUGUGAGGAAUUUUUAAUUAUCCCCGUUUUACAGAUGAAGUGACUGAGGCUCACAGAGAUUAAAUAACUGGUACCUCUGCCACCAGUAACACCUUACUGCCAGAGAUCCCCAGGGAAAUAUAAAGACCAGCAGGACUUGAGAGAAGCCGAACUGUUGAACUGCUGCCUCUAACUGUGGGAGGAAGUCACUUCUAUAUAGGAACAGGACCUGGGAAAGAAGAAAGAGGCUCACCUGCAAUUGCCUUGAUAUUCCCAGUGGGUCUCAAGUCCCCGGGUCAGGGAGGGAGCCCAUGAGAACUCCUCCCAGAGUGCAUGAGUCACUGAGAUAACAAAGAAGGAAUCUCCUGUUAUACAACUAAAAAUCUUUCUCUCCCAUUUGCUCCUGCUCUCUGGGCUCCACGAAUGCCAACAAAUUCUUACCGUGAGGUCAGCCAGAGCUCCAGGCAGCAAGAAGACCCAGAACUGGAAAUGCUAACGGGAAGGAAAGUAUUUUAAUAAGAUACAAAAAGAAUAGCAAGGCAUCCCUUCUUCCACAAGACUGAUCUUCAACAGCUGAAGGUCACACCAAAAUGAUACCAUCUUGGCUGAUUGUACCUGUUUCCCAGAGUUCAGAUGACGGUUUUUCCCAGCCGUGGAAAUCUCUGCCGCCUGACAUGAUCCUGAACUUUCUCCAUUUUAAGAUUAAAGGCAAAAGGGCAAAGCCUGGAGAUUAUGACCACUGAAAUACAAUAGAUGUAUGAUUAAAUCUCAUUGCUGCCACUUACUAGACUUCAGUUUGUUCAACAGCGAAAGAGAUAAUCUGCUUAAGGGGGUUCUGAGACUCAAAUGAGGCCAUGGACAUAAAAUGUCUGGCACAGUACCCAAGUGCACAGUUGCUUCUCUCUAAGAUCUGUGAAAUCCCAAAUUAGUCACAAAAAUAAAUCCAAGAAAUUAAUUUAGCACGUACCUGCACUAAAUGGUUAGUAUGCUGUAGCUUCUGUGCAGGCCUCUGCUAUGCAUAUAUACAGAUUCAUUAAAU